GCUGGGUGUGGUGCCACGUACCUGUAAUCCCAGCUACUGGGGAGGCUGAGGCAGGAGAAUUGCUUGUACCCAGGGGUUGGAGGUUGCAGUGAGCCAUGAUCACCCCACUGCACUCCAGCCUGGGUGACAGAGCAAGACUCUGUCUCAA
ensembl:misc_RNA Metazoa_SRP Metazoan signal recognition particle RNA